CUUAAACAAAACUGUGGGAUUUUUAGUCCCUAGUUUGGCCCUAGUUGUGCUUAUCUGUGGGUACCAGUGGACCUUGGCCCAUGCAUGGACCUUCUGGCUUAGUUGCAGGCCUGCCCUGUCACUAUGGGCCUGUCUAGUAGUCUCUGGACUUUCUCUCAUCAUGAUGUUGAGCUGUGGAUUGACCACCCAGCUUGACUUCAUACCUGUGUCAUCAGUGUGGACUUUCCUGCUAACUGGGGCUUGUGGUUGAAGCUGGCUCCUGUUCCUAGAGCUGCACUGCUAUUCUGAUGUAGUACUCUGGGAUAGGCUCUGUCCAGCCCUCAGUUCCUGCCUCUCCAUCCUGCUGGGAGAAGAUGUGGAUUAGUCAAGACGACACUAAAGUCAUCCAACCUGAAGCAGGAGUCUGGGAGCUCAUUCUGGUUGCAGCCUUCCUGUUGGGACUGGGGAGAAUUCUGCAGAGAAAUAGGCCAACUAAGCGAUUUAGUUUUCUUUUAAUUCUUGUUUGUCUCAUGGUGUUACCAUAUGGAGGAGGCACACAGCAGUUUGUAACAGACACCUGUGCAGAUGAUGGUCCACUAGUGCCAAGUGGUGGCAGUCAAAAAUUUAUGAAAAAUGAGUAUGCCAUGGAUGCAAGGAAAGGCCAUGACCCAGGACCAUGUCAUUGGACUACUGAUAUCAUCUCAUACAACAGGCCUAUCCAAAAUUGUGAUGGCCAUGUCCUGCUGAGAUCUGCAACUCCAGCCAAGGUUCUUGCUUCCUAUUGCUGUCAGGAUAAUGCUGCAUCAUUCCACCUAACUACCAAUAAAUAGAAAUGCAGAGCCAUGACUUCUAUUCGAAAGCAUGCAGACUCCUUUGUACUGUUUCCUUAUAUACAAAUAUAUCUUCCAACUUGUAGCUGUAGUACAUCUGAAUUAAAUCAUGACUUAUUCUUUCUAUUAAAGCUGUGUUGUCCUUGCCAUUAUCCCCUUUUCCAGUAAAUGAGUACAAUGAAAAAUUGAUUCUAGCUGUAUUGGACUGCAG
rnacentral:lncRNA from 1 species